CCUGAAACCCAGCUGCGCUUGGCCAAGGCCACUGGCCAUUCAGGAAACCGUGGCUCUCCUGUCCUGCAGUGGGAUACCUUCACUCUCUUCAACCAGAACUCAGUGCUGAUUUUCAAAGGCCACCAGCCGCAAGGAAUGCUGGGACACGGCCC